AAAACACGGCGGGAACAGGCGGGUCAUGUAAUGAACCAAGAGAUAAUAAUCCUUUUCAGAGUAAAUGAGGUAAUCGCGUCGCCACCCCCUCCCCUCCCCACCCAACCCAACAGAGAUAACGCAUGCACUGGGUAGGGUCAGCCAGCUGAUGCGGUGCAGCCCGGCCAGCCCGGCGCGGUGGGCGUGCACGCCGGGGACAGCCCAGCAUUCAUCGUCGCGUCAAAUGAGCACCGUGACCUUGGCAGUAGAAUCCCUUCGCCGGUGGAGAACAGGGAAGACGAUGACUCACUUGUUGCUCUGGAAGCUGCGGUGAAGACGUCUCCGGUGUGGGAGACAUACGACGGUGCUGGUAGUGCUCUGGCGGACGGGUUGGCGCUCACUGACUGACAACGACAACCUCAGCCGGCCUGUCGGUCUCGCCGAGCCGGUCCGGUCAGCGGGGCCUGGGCGUGGCGGUGAGCGGUGAGGUGGGGCGGCGGCGGCGGCAGCAGCAGCGCGGGUAGCACGCUGCCGGCUCGUGUCCACAGUGUGUUGUCCUUGUCGUGCUCGCCGGGGGGCCCCGCGCCUGUACUGUGAGUGGGGCAGAGAUUGCGCGGCGUGCCCUGUGCACGUGCAAUGCGUGCGGUGAGGGCAACAAUGACCGUGUGGGUGCAGCUGGCGGCGGCACACGUGCACACGCCCUGUCCUGUCCCAAUCAGCUGACGCCGGCUGCUGGUGCGACUGCCGGCGCUUCAAUCGGAGAUGGCGAGAUGUCGGUGUACUCCUCCGCGCCCAGCUGGUCCUCACCUGACUGGUUGGCGGUGGCGCCUUCCCUGUGCUGGUGGCCCAGGUUGCUCACGGUACCCAGGGGGGCCAUGAGCGGAAUCUGGAGGCCCGUCGGGUGGACCAGCUCGCCGCU